rnacentral:tRNA from 1 species
GAGGCUAUAGCUUAAUUAAAGUAUCUGUUUUGCAUACAGAAGAUGUGAGUUAAUGUCUUGCUAGUCUUA